GCGAAAUUUGUGAUCAUAGAAGUAUAAAAUACAAUCAUAAUAGUGUACAAACUUACAAUUCCAAUUAAUUAUAGUCGAAUUUAGACUACUGCGGGACCUCUAGUUCUCCUAAUUUCCAAAGCGAAUUAAUAAAACACACAAAAAUGACAGUCGUUUGCUUUCAGUGCGGGCACGCGGCAGUUAUUAAACUCCAGUGCGAAGAUGAUCCACGUCGCCCAUAUAUUGCGCGUUUAUAAUGCAAGCCUGAAGCGCAUGGAUUCAGUACACAAUAGCUUCACUUUAAAUUUACAUACCAACUUCGUGCUGCAACCGUGGUGGGAAUAUAUAUUUUUAGUUACAUUGUUUGGUUCCCUUAAAAAGAUCACGUCAUCAUAUUGGCGGGACCAAUACUCACGAGGACAAAAGGCGAUGACAUUGAGGAAAGAGCUCCUCAAUUAAUAUCUUGACCAAUAACCUUAGCCUGCUGAGUUUCCCUUUUUUUUUAGAUAGACGACGAGCUCACAGCCCAUCUGCCGUGCGAUUCUGUAAGCGUUGUUUAACAAACUCGCACGUGAAUUUGGUGUGAGUUUUCAAAUUGGCAUUCUGUAAAUUUCAUUGUAGUGCCGAAUCUACACUAGCGCCCCUCGCGGGUGAAUUGAACUAGCAAGCGUGAGUUUUUUUUACUAAAAUGUAUGAGUUGACGUUUGAAACGGCAUUCUGUAGUGUAAAUCACGUCGAAUUUCGGCAAGAACUUCGCAUCGCAAAAUCAUUUUAUUUGUCAAAUCAAAAGUUAGUGUUUUAAGUGUUUGUUGUGAGUGAGAAUAUACGAAAACGUUAUAAACCGCUGUUAAUUAUUAAAAAAAUACUAUUAAUUAACAAAAUUGCACUUUAAAAUAACUUUAUUCUUCAUCGAUAUUUUAUGGAGCGUAUGUUUUUAUUGAAAACAUUGUUGAAAAGGCUGACGCUACGGAUCAGCGUGAAAUGCGUCGACAAGCCUACGAAAUUCACAAUUUAUCACUUUUAACUUGAGAUGACGACUAUGUAAAAGUAUAAAGAAAGUGUAUAGAUUGUCGAAGGAUCAUAUGAACCAGUUAGGGUGUGAAUUACACCCUUUGACGAAGACCACUAAAAGCCAUUGAAAAGGACUUUCAACUCUUCUAAAGUUUCAGUUAUUGUGCACCUUGUUUAUUUGGGCAAAUGAAGUUACCAAAAAAAUCAUAAAAGAAAAUAUAAGAACAUAUUUGUCCCAGAUAUCCCAGUGUAUAUCUGAGGUUGUGGAGGCUCUGAACAACCCAGCAACUAUAUAUAAAUAUUUAAGAUUCCCGCAGAAUGCUCAAGAAUGGCAAAAGUUGAAGGAUAACUGAAGAAAAAAGAAGAAGGUGGUUUAAACUAAAUAAAUAUUUUUUUUCUUCAUAAAAAAGUACCAAUAUUAAUCUAAUGCUAAAUAUUGCAGUUUUUGUAAAAAAAUUAAAAACACUUUGGUUGUUGGGUGUAUUGAUGGGACGUUGGUGGCCUUAAAAAGACCUGCUACCAAUAAAAAAUGGUUUUACUGUCACAAAGGCUAUCAUGCCAGAAAAUGUACAAUUUGUAAAGCCAUUAAUAUUUUUCGAAAUUCUGAUGAUAUGUAAUCCAUAAACGAAAUGUGUAUUAUAAACUAUGUAUUCAGAUUGUAUUCAUUUCAGUUAAAUUGAAUUGUGUAUAUUGCUUUAAAGUUAUUGUGAAAUUUAGUAUUUAUAUUAAAUAAACUUUAUUCAGUUAUAAAAAAAACAAAAUAAAAUCUACUAAAGAUUAGUCAAUGACAGCAAGUAAUGACCAUUAUAAUUAUUUAACAUCUUUUCGGUCUUUCUGUAUAAUAUAUGCUCAACGUUCCAACCUUAUGACACCUUUUGCAAAUUUUUUUUUCAUUUCACCAUCUAAAUGGUUAGACGAGCUCACAGCCCACCUGGUGUUAAGUGGUUACUGGAGCCCAUAGACAUCUACAACGUAAAUGCGCCACCAACCUUGAGAUAUAAAUUCGAAGGUCUCAGUAUAGUUACAACGGCUGCGCCACCCUUCAAACCGAAACGCAUUACUGCUUCAGAAAUAGGCAAUAAUGCUAUGCUAGCUAAUACCUGCUAAUAAUGGCUAGCUAAUGCUAAUACGGAGAGAGAUACUCCUGAAGCUUUGUAGCACCACCUUCAUUCCACUGCCCGUAACUCAGUGAAAAGAACAAUAGUUCUGCUAAAGAGUAGAUUCAGGUGUUUGCUGAUCCAUAGGGUGCCAAUUUAUCACCCUGAUAAGGUAGCAAAAAUAGCUGUUGCGUGUUGUGUUUUGCACAACAUUUGCAAUUGUGCAGAGCUGCCAGUUCCCAUAAUCUCAGAUUAUGAGAUUACAUUUACAUUAUGGUGGUCAUGUUGAAUUACUUUGUUAAAUUCUACUAAUUAGCUUACUUAUAGUGUGAAGUAACUUCAAAUAUAAAUUAAUGAUUUAUAAAAA